GACGAACGCUGGCGGCGUGCUUAACACAUGCAAGUCGAACGGAAAGGCCCUGCUUUUGUGGGGUGCUCGAGUGGCGAACGGGUGAGUAACACGUGAGUAACCUGCCCUUGACUUUGGGAUAACUUCAGGAAACUGGGGCUAAUACCGGAUAGGAGCUCCUGCUGCAUGGUGGGGGUUGGAAAGUUUCGGCGGUUGGGGAUGGACUCGCGGCUUAUCAGCUUGUUGGUGGGGUAGUGGCUUACCAAGGCUUUGACGGGUAGCCGGCCUGGGAGGGUGACCGGCCACAUUGGGACUGAGAUACGGCCCAGACUCCUACGGGAGGCAGCAGUGGGGAAUAUUGCACAAUGGGCGGAAGCCUGAUGCAGCAACGCCGCGUACGGGAUGACGGCCUUCGGGUUGUAAACCGCUUUCGCCUGUGACGAAGCGUGAGUGACGGUAAUGGGUAAAGAAGCACCGGCUAACUACGUG
rnacentral:rRNA from 1 species